ensembl:misc_RNA Metazoa_SRP Metazoan signal recognition particle RNA
GCCAGGCAUGGUGGCUCAUGCCUGUAAUCCCAGCACUUUGGGAGGCAGAGUCGGGCGGAUCACCUGAGGUCAGGAGUUUGAGACCAUCCUGGCCAACAUGGUGAAACCCCGUCUCUA